rnacentral:rRNA from 1 species
GCCUCACCGAUUGCCAGCUGACGGGACUGUUCCCGAGAAGGAACAGUAUGCCCGAGGUGCUCUUUCGGGAGUCCACGUCACCAGCAUGGUCGGAGUCGCUGUACCCGACCAAGCUCUCGCCGUCGCCACGACGAUACACGCAUCCAUGCGUGAGCGUACCCGCGAUGUACCGAAGCAGGUGCUUGACGGCAGCGAGAUGAUCGCUUGCCGGGGCUUCCAUGAACCUACUCAGGUACCCGACAACGAACGUGAUGUCCGGUCGGGUGUGCACGAGGUACCUGAGGCUCCCGAUGAUGCUGCGAUAGAGUGUAGCAUCCACCGCCUUCUCGGAGCUAUCCUUGCUGAGCUUCAGCCGUGCCUCCAUUGGAGC